UGGGGAAUAUUGCACAAUGGGCGCAAGCCUGAUGCAGCGACGCCGCGUGGGGGAUGACGGCCUUCGGGUUGUAAACUCCUUUCGCUAGGGACGAAGCUUUUUGUGACGGUACCUAGAUAAGCAGCACCGGCUAACUACGUGCCAGCAGCCGCGGUAAUACGUAGGGUGCGAGCGUUGUCCGGAAUUACUGGGCGUAAAGGGCUCGUAGGUGGUUUGUCGCGUCGUCUGUGAAAUUCCGGGGCUUAACUCCGGGCGUGCAGGCGAUACGGGCAUAACUUGAGUACUGUAGGGGUAACUGGAAUUCCUGGUGUAGCGGUGAAAUGCGCAGAUAUCAGGAGGAACACCGAUGGCGAAGGCAGGUUACUGGGCAGUUACUGACGCUGAGGAGCGAAAGCAUGGGUAGCGAACAGG
rnacentral:rRNA from 1 species